CUCAAACUGUAUUCAUCAAUAAUUUCAAGCUUCAUGCACACAAGAGGACUGACUGGUUGCAUACCCGUAGUGAGCAAGGGAUUAUAAAAAACAGACAUUGAAGGGAGUCCUUUUUCAAUUUAUUUCUCUUUUCUUCUUCUCUGUCUUUGUUUUUAUCUCUUCUAGCUGGAACAUACGAAUACUUAUGGACUUUUAUUAUGAGAUCAAUUCCAAAAUGAGUUUUUCCUUGAAAUAUUUUCGUGGCCUUAUCUGAAAUUGACAACGAUAUAGAGCGUUUUUGGAGAGGCUCUUUUAAAAAAAAAAAUAAAAGUUCAACUUUCAGAUAUCAAAUUCAAUACUUUUAAGCUUUUUGAAUCUAUUCUUCUUGAAGCUAUGAACUUCUGAACAAAAAGCUCCUAUUUUCCACUUUAAACAAAGAUAACUCGAGUGAAAAGUAUGAUGCAGACAUUUUAAAAAUAGUUUUAGAAUUUUUUAAUAUUUACUCUUAAAAUAUAUUAACAUAAUUUAUCCCUAUCUUCAACACUGAGGUCUUAAAACAGCUUUGAACUUUAAAAAUAAGAAAAAAUGUUUCGUCUUUUUCAGAAGGCCACGGGGCUAUGAGAGAAAAAAUAAGGUCAUAUUUGAAACCAAGGGAUCAAACUCUAUUAAAUAGAGCAUAUACUUUUUUGUACCAUUUUUGCUGUUGGACUGUAAUUCAAAUAAAACAACAUAAUGAUUUUUCUAAUCAACUUCUUAGAUGGCCAACAAAUAUUCUUCUCAAUAUGUCAAAAUUUCCUCCUGAAAAAAGUAAUCACAUUAUAAUGGCAAACCCAGACAUAAGUUCGUCUCUUUAUUAUCUGAAGAGAAGUUAUAAAAAUUGGCGUAAAGGCAAAAGGUCUUUUAAACAAUGGAGAAAGACAGGCAAGCGUAACGACGUCUCAUAAUUAAAAUUAAUUAUUCUUAAUGUUGAACGUCUUUAUAAAUAAUUUUGGAAAUAACUAAGUAGUUACAUUAUAUUUCUAACUUUGGGAUUCUAUUAAGAGGUAUACAUUCGAACGUAUGUUUCUGAGUGUGAAUAAAUUAAUUCGAUUGAUACAUGAUAUGAAAAUCUUUUUGAUUACCCGACCAUUAAAUAUUCCUUAAAUUGAUAAUUUAUGUUGCAUGCUUAUAUACUUUUUGAUUAUUUAGAAUUUGUGCUUAGCCAUUCAUUUUAAUAACUAAUAUUAAUAAGAAAUCUAUAUAUAUAUUUGUAAAUUUCAAUUAUAUAAGAAAUAUAGCCAGUUUAUGUAUACUUCCGUUUAAA
rnacentral:lncRNA from 1 species